rnacentral:rRNA from 1 species
UACGGGGGGGGCAAGCGUUGUUCGGAGUUACUGGGCGUAAAGGGCUCGUAGGCGGCCAACUAAGUCGGAUGUGAAAUCCCCAGGCUUAACCUGGGAAUUGCAUCCGAUACUGGAUGGCUUGAAUCCGGGAGAGGGAUGCGGAAUUCCAGGUGUAGCGGUGAAAUGCGUAGAUAUCUGGAGGAACACCGGUGGCGAAGGCGGCAUCCUGGACCGGCAUUGACGCUGAGGAGCGAAAGCCAGGGGAGCAAACGGG